UACGUAGGUCCCGAGCGUUAUCCGGAUUUAUUGGGCGUAAAGCGAGCGCAGGUGGUUUAUUAAGUCUGGUGUAAAAGGCAGUGGCUCAACCAUUGUAUGCAUUGGAAACUGGUAGACUUGAGUGCAGGAGAGGAGAGUGGAAUUCCAUGUGUAGCGGUGAAAUGCGUAGAUAUAUGGAAGAACACCAGUGGCGAAAGCGGCUCUCUGGUCUGUAACUGACGCUGAGGUUCGAAAGCGUGGGUAGCAAACAGG
rnacentral:rRNA from 1 species